UUGGAGGGCAAGUCUGGUGCCAGCAGCCGCGGUAAUUCCAGCUCCAAUAGCGUAUAUUAAAGUUGUUGUGGUUAAAAAGCUCGUAGUUGAACCUUGGGCCUGGCUGGCCGGUCCGCCUCACCGCGUGCACUGGUCCGGCCGGGCCUUUCCCUCUGCGGAACCCCAUGCCCUUCACUGGGUGUGGCGGGGAAACAGGACUUUUACUUUGAAAAAACUUAGAGUGCUCAAGGCAGGCCUAUGCUCGAAUACAUUAGCAUGGAAUAAUAGAAUAGGA
rnacentral:rRNA from 1 species